AACGAACACUGGCGGCAGGCUUAACACAUGCAAGUCGAGCGCCCCGCAAGGGGAGCGGCGGACGGGUGAGUAACGCGUGGGAACCUACCUAGAGGUGCGGAAUAACUCAGGGAAACUAGAGCUAAUACCGCAUGAGCCCGAGAGGGGAAAGAUUUAUCGCCUUUGGAUGGGCCCGCGUCAGAUUAGCUAGUUGGUGAGGUAACGGCUCACAAAGGCGACGAUCUGUAGCUGGUCUGAGAGGAUGAUCAGCCACAUUGGGACUGAGACACGGCCCAAACUCCUACGGGAGGCAGCAGUGGGGAAUAUUGGACAAUGGGCGCAAGCCUGAUCCAGCCAUGCCGCGUGAGUGAUGACGGCCUUAGGGUUGUAAAGCUCUUUCGACGGGGACGAUAAUGACGGUACCCGUAGAAGAAGCCCCGGCUAACUUCGUGCCAGCCGCCGCAGUAAUAC
rnacentral:rRNA from 1 species